rnacentral:sRNA from 1 species
UACACAGUCAUUCUGUACAAUUUGGGU